ensembl:lncRNA
AUGUUAAUGGCAAACAUUUUAUGUAGAUGUUUGUGUUUCAAUUCUUGUAGAAACAUGGCACAAUUUGGAGGUGUGAGUUCAGUUACCAAAUGGAGGCGGGUCCGAAAUAUUCUUCAAGAGCUCCAAACUCCAAAAAACCAUGACACUGAAACCCAAGUUGCCAGUCCCAAGAAAUCUUUUUUGGCAAAUUAUGAAACAUCACAGGAUGAAGACAUGACUUGUGAUAACAUCUCAGUAUUUGAAAACAACACAGAAAACAUUAAACUUGACAGUGACACUGACAUUGACAGCAACAUUGAUGAUGAUGACAGAUUCAGUGAUUGUCUCAGCAGUUUCAGUGAAGAAGAAGACUUUUUCAGUGAUGCACAUGACACUGACAACUUUGAAGACUUGCCCGGUGAACUGCGCCAAUGGGUGGUAGAGUCUGGUGUGACACAAAAUGCAGCUGACAGCCUACUUAAAAUUUUAAACAAACACAUCCCCUUACUCCCAAAAUGUUUACGCACUUUGAUGAAAACAUCACAUUCAUGUGAGGUGAAAACAAUUGAUGGUGGGGAGUAUGUGCAUUUUGGCAUACUGGAACAUUUGCUUCAAAACAAAGAAAGUCUGCUGUCACAACCUGACACAAUCAAAUUGCAGGUGAAUGUGGAUGGACUACCAUUAUUCAAGAGUUCUCCAAAGCAACUUUGGCCAAUUUUAGGGAAAUUUCCUUUUGAAAGGGAUCCAUUUGUUAUAGGGGUCUUUUGUGGAAACAGCAAACCACGUAAUCCGAACCAAUAUCUUCAAGACUUCGUUCAGGAGGUUUCCAAUCUUGAACAAGGUUUCAGUGUAGAUGAGAGGAGGUUCUCUUUGUCCCUGGACUGCUUUAUCUGUGAUGCUCCAGCACGAUCAUUUAUAAAACAAACAAAGGGGCAUGGAGGCUAUAGUGGUUGUGAUCGCUGCACACAGGAGGGAUCCUAUGUGGGACGAAAAAUGACGUUUCCUGAAACACAUGCCAGACUGAGAACAGACGAGUCAUUUGCUGAACAGCGUGAUGAAAAUCAUCACAGAGGUCACUCAAUACUGAGCAUAUUACAUUUUGGAAUGGUCACACAGUUUGUGCUUGACUAUAUGCAUGUUGUUUGCCUUGGUGUCACAAGGAAGCUGCUGAAUUUUUGGACCAAAGGUGACCUAAAAUACAGACAGAGCUCCAUUAAGAUCAGUCCCAUCUCCGAAAAACUGGUAGGAAUGUCAAAGUACAUACCUUGUGAGUUUGCACGAAAGCCAAGGUCACUCUCAGAAUUAGAUCGCUGGAAAGCUACGGAAUUCAGACAGUUUCUUUUGUACACUGGUCCAGUAGUACUAAAAGACAUUCUCCCAACUCCACUCUACAAUAACUUUCUUUCACUGUCAAUCAGCAUCUAUCUGAUGCUUUCUCCAACCCUGUGUGCCCAUUACUGCGAUUAUGCAGAUGACCUAAUCAGAUACUUCCUUGAACAGUUCGGGAACUUGUAUGGCAUUGAGGAAAUGGUCUACAAUUUUUACUCUCUGUGUCAUCUAGCAGAUGAUGUGAGGAGGUUUGGUUCCUUAGAUCGUGUGUCUGCAUUUCCUUUUGAAAACUUCCUGGGCCACCUUAAAAGAAAGGUCAGAAAGCCUCAACAUAUUCUUCAGCAAAUUGCACAUGUUGUAGAGAGGCAGUCCACACAGUCCACACAGAAGAAAUCCACUUUCCACACAGACAAACCCAAACUUGGUGGAAAGCAUACAAGCGGACCAACAGUGCCAGACAAUGCUUUAAGACUACAGUACAAGAGGGCCAGAUUUCAAAAUGCUGCAAUAAAAUGCAAGAUGGGAGACAAUUGUGUGAUGAUUAAUGGACAACUUGGCUUGGUUGAGAAUAUCCUGUUUGACACCACCACAGAAGAGACUUUAAUUCUGCUUAGACCGUUUCUAGAUCUGGCCCCAAUGUACACAGAGCCGAUCAAUUCUCCAGACAUUGGCAUAUUCACAGCUUGUGAGCUUGCUGCAGAGGUCAAACUUUACAAGCUUUCUGACAUUGAGGCAAAAUAUGUUUUGCUUCCACUUGGAUUUGGAUGGGCAGCAACCCCAUUGCUGCAUUUGCAUUAG